GAUGAACGCUGGCGGCGUGCUUAACACAUGCAAGUCGAGCGAGAAGUUUUGAAAAGAUUCUUCGGAUGAAAUUUAAAAUGGAAAGCGGCGGACGGGUGAGUAACGCGUAGGCAACCUGCCCCAUACAAAGGGAUAGCAUUUGGAAACGAAUAUUAAUACCUUAUGAAACUUAACUAGUGCAUGCUAGGUAGGUCAAAGAUUUAUCGGUAUGGGAUGGGCCUGCGUCUGAUUAGCUAGUUGGUGAGGUAACGGCACACCAAGGCGACGAUCAGUAGCCGACCUGAGAGGGUGAACGGCCACAUUGGAACUGAGACACGGUCCAAACUCCUACGGGAGGCAGCAGUGGGGAAUAUUGCACAAUGGGGGAAACCCUGAUGCAGCAACGCCGCGUGAACGAUGAAGGCCUUUGGGUCGUAAAGUUCUGUUCUAGGUGAUGAAAACUGACAGUAACCUAGGAGAAAGCCCCGGCUAACUCCGUG
rnacentral:rRNA from 1 species